UUGACCUCGGAUCAGGUAGGACUACCCGCUGAACUUAAGCAUAUCAAUAAGCGGAGGAAAAGAAACCAACAGGGAUUGCCCUAGUAACGGCGAGUGAAGCGGCAACAGCUCAAAUUUGAAAUCUGGCCCUCGGGUCCGAGUUGUAAUUUGUAGAGGAUGCUUUUGGUGCGGUACCUUCCGAGUUCCCUGGAACGGGACGCCAUAGAGGGGUGAGAGCCCCCGUCUGGGUUGGGAUGCCCAAUCCCUCUGUAAAG
rnacentral:rRNA from 1 species